rnacentral:rRNA from 1 species
CCUACGGGGGGCUGCAGUGGGGAAUAUUGGACAAUGGGCGAAAGCCUGAUCCAGCCAUGCCGCGUGUGUGAAGAAGGCCUUCGGGUUGUAAAGCACUUUCAGUGGGGAAGAAAGCCUUGGGGCUAAUACCCUCGAGGAAGGACAUCACCCACAGAAGAAGCACCGGCUAACUCCGUGCCAGCAGCCGCGGUAAUACGGAGGGUGCGAGCGUUAAUCGGAAUUACUGGGCGUAAAGCGCGCGUAGGCGGUCUGAUAAGCCGGUUGUGAAAGCCCCGGGCUCAACCUGGGAACGGCAUCCGGAACUGUGAGGCUAGAGUUCAGGAGAGGAAGGUAAAAUUCCCGGGGUAGCGGUGAAAUGCGGAGAGAUCGGGAGGAAUACCAGUGGCGAAGGCGGCCUUCUGGACUGACACUGACGCUGAGGUGCGAAAGCGUGGGUAGCAAACAGGAUUAGAUACCCCGAGUAGUC